AUUGAACGCUGGCGGCAGGCCUAACACAUGCAAGUCGAGCGGGGCGGCGGACGGGCGAGUGAGGCCUAUGAAUCUGCCUGGUCGUGGGGGAGAACGUCCGGCAACGGGCGCUAAUACAGCAUACUAUCAGAUGAGCCUAGGUCGGAUUAGUUAGUUGGUGGGUUAAAGGCCUACAAAGGCGACGAUCCGUAACUGGUCUGAGAGGAGGAUCAGCCACACUGGAACUGAGACACGGUCCAGACUCCUACGGGAGGCAGCAGUGGGGAAUAUUGGACAAUGGGCGCAAGCCUGAUCCAGCCAUGCCGCGUGUGUGAAGAAGGUCUUCGGAUUGUAAAGCACUUUAAGUUGGGAGGCGUUACCAACAGAAUAAGCACCGGCUAACUUCGUGCCAGCAGCCGCGGUAAUAC
rnacentral:rRNA from 1 species